UCGGGUUGUAAAGCACUUUUGUCCGGAAAGAAAUCCUUAGCCCUAAUAUGGUUGGGGGAUGACGGUACCGGAAGAAUAAGCACCGGCUAACUACGUGCCAGCAGCGCGGUAAUCGUAGGGUGCGAGCGUUAAUCGGAAUUACUGGGCGUAAAGCGUGCGCAGGCGGUUCGCUAAGACCGAUGUGAAAUCCCCGGGCUUAACCUGGGAACUGCAUUGGUGACUGGCGGGCUAGAGUAUGGCAGAGGGGGGUAGAAUUCCACGUGUAGCAGUGAAAUGCGUAGAGAUGUGGAGGAAUACCGAUGGCGAAGGCAGCCCCCUGGGCCAAUACUGACGCUCAUGCACGAAAGCGUGGGGAGCAAACAGGAUUAGAUACCCUGGUAGUCCACGCCCUAAACGAUGUCAACUAGUUGUUGGGGAUUCAUUUCCUUAGUAACGUAGCUAACGCGUGAAGUUGACCGCCUGGGGAGUACGGUCGCAAGAUUAAAACUCAAAGGAAUUGACGGGGACCCGCACAAGCGGUGGAUGAAGGUGGAUUAAUUCGAUGCAACGCGAAAAACCUUACCUACCCUUGACAUGGACGGAACCCUGCUG
rnacentral:rRNA from 1 species